AGCAGCCGCGGUAAUUCCAGCUCCAAUAGCGUAUAUUAAAGUUGUUGCAGUUAAAAAGCUCGUAGUUGAAUUUCGGGGUUAGUAGGUUGGUCAUGCCUCUGGUAUGUACUGGUCUCACUGAUUCCUCCUUCCUUAUGAACCGUAAUGCCAUUAAUUUGGUGUUGCGGGGAAUUUGGACUGUUACUUUGAAAAAAUUAGAGUGUUUAAAGCAAGCUAACGCUUGAAUACAUUAGCAUGGAAUAAUGAAAUAGGACGUUCGAUCUUAUUUUGUUGGUUUCUAGGAUUGACGUAAUGAUUAAUAGGGAUAGUUGGGGGCAUUAGUAUUCAAUUGUCAGAGGUGAAAUUCUUGGAUUUAUUGAAGACUAACUACUGCGAAAGCAUUUGCCAAGGAUGUUUUCAUUAAUCAAGAACGAAAGUUAGGGGAUCGAAGACGAUCAGAUACCGUCGUAGUCUUAACCAUAAACUAUGCCGACUAGGGAUCGGAUGAUGUUAAUUUUUUAAUGACUCA
rnacentral:rRNA from 3 species